CUUGUAGGCGGUUUGUCGCGUCUGCUGUGAAAAUCUGGGGCUUAACUCCGGACGUGCAGUGGGUACGGGCAGGCUAGAGUGUGGUAGGGGAGACUGGAAUUCCUGGUGUAGCGGUGAAAUGCGCAGAUAUCAGGAGGAACACCGAUGGCGAAGGCAGGUCUCUGGGCCAUUACUGACGCUGAGGAGCGAAAGCGUGGGGAGCGAACA
rnacentral:rRNA from 1 species